ensembl:snRNA U6 U6 spliceosomal RNA
GUGCUUGCUUCAACAGCACAUUUACAAAAAUUGGAAUGAUACACAAAAGAUCAACAUGGCCCUUGCAUAAAUAUCACAUACAACUGAGUGAAACUAUCUAUAUAAAU